GUCUUUUAGAUAAUAAUUUAAAGUCAAAUCUGCUCAAUGAUAUUAUUAAAUAGCUGCGGUAUUCUAACUGUACAAAGGUAGCAUAAUCAAUAGUUUUUUAAUUAAAAGCUGGAAUGAAUGAUUCGAUGAGAUAUAUUCUGUCUCAAAUUUAAUUAUAGAAUUUUUUUUAUUAAUAAUAAAAUUAAUAUGAAUUUAAAAGACGAGAAGACCCUAUAGAUUUUUAUUUUAUAAAUAAUAAUUAAUAUAUUAUAUUUUUUUAUAAUUAUUAAUUUAUAAAAUUUGAUUGGGGUGAUUAAUAAAUUUAAUAAACUUUAAAUUAAUUAAACUUUAAUAAAUGAAUAAUUGAUCUUAAAUUUUAGAUUAUAAGAUUAAAAUACCUUAGGGAUAACAGCGUAAUUUUAUUGGAGAGAUCAUAUUGAUAAUAAAGAUUGC
rnacentral:rRNA from 1 species